GAGAUUAAAGAUUUAUCGGUGAUGGAUGGGGAUGCGUCUGAUUAGCUUGUUGGCGGGGUAACGGCCCACCAAGGCAACGAUCAGUAGGGGUUCUGAGAGGAAGGUCCCCCACAUUGGAACUGAGACACGGUCCAAACUCCUACGGGAGGCAGCAGUGAGGAAUAUUGGUCAAUGGACGAGAGUCUGAACCAGCCAAGUAGCGUGCAGGAUGACGGCCCUAUGGGUUGUAAACUGCUUUUAUAAGGGAAUAAAGUGAGUCUCGUGAGACUUUUUGCAUGUACCUUAUGAAUAAGGACCGGCUAAUUCCGUGCCAGCAGCCGCGGUAAUACGGAAGGUCCGGGCGUUAUCCGGAUUUAUUGGGUUUAAAGGGAGCGUAGGCCGGAGAUUAAGCGUGUUGUGAAAUGUAGACGCUCAACGUCUGCACUGCAGCGCGAACUGGUUUCCUUGAGUACGCACAAAGUGGGCGGAAUUCG
rnacentral:rRNA from 1 species